AGAGUUUGAUCAUGGCUCAGAUUGAACGCUGGCGGCAUGCCUAACACAUGCAAGUCGAACGGAUCCGGACUUCGGUCCGUGAGAGUGGCGGACGGGUGAGUAACACGUGGGAACCUGCCUUUUGGUUCGGGAUAACCGCGGGAAACUGCGGCUAAUACCGGAUGCUCCCGAGAGGGAAAAGAUUUAUCGCCAGAAGAGGGGCCCGCGUCCGAUUAGGUAGUUGGUGGGGUAAUGGCCUACCAAGCCGACGAUCGGUAGCUGGUCUGAGAGGAUGAUCAGCCACACUGGGACUGAGAUACGGCCCAGACUCCUACGGGAGGCAGCAGUGGGAAUAUUGGACAAUGGGGCAACCCUGAUCCAGCAAUGCCGCGUGAGUGAUGAAGGCCUUAGGGUUGUAAAGCUCUUUUGCCAGGGAAGAUGAUGACUGUACCUGGAGAAUAAGCCCCGGCUAACUUCGUG
rnacentral:rRNA from 1 species